CGUCGGCCCCUCAUGGCUUCCCGCCCUUUUUCAGACUUCUCAGGGUGGGAAGACCCUGCCCCUCCCAGCUACCCGCCCACAGAAGUCCUCAAAAAGCUGGGAAGGGGUGUGGUGGGGUUUCUUCUUGCUCUUUUGAGGACUUCUGUGGAUGGGCAGCUGUGAGGGGACAGUGUUUCUGCACAUUGAGAGGCUUCUUAGCCCCUUUCCUCUGGGCUGCUCAGCUGUGAGGCCGCGGCGCUCUCUCAGCAGGUUGGUGCCUGCUCCUCAGGGCUGCCGAGAGGCACUGACAUUCUCCUGGCAGGGGGCCCAAACAUGUGAAUUACUGGUACUUUCUUCUUGAAACUGACUUACCGAAGCAAUCUUUGCCUGGAAAUGAACACUUGUAGUUGCUGGCAGCCUCUCAGGGGAAGGUCUGUGGUAGUCCUUGACCCUCCAGAGUUCAAGUAGCAGCAUCAGCCAAAGAGGUAUCACAAAGGCCAUCUCCAGUAUGGUUUUCAUUCUACAAAAGCAAAUUAGUGCCUGAUUGCGAAGUGCUCACUUGGCUAUUCAGGAGACUCCUGCUUUGUGCCUAUUCAAGGCACCUUUUACAGUUUCUGCUGGCCUGCAGUUUUCAAUAAAAGCUCAGAAAGUA